AAAACUGGUAAUAAUUUCUGGUUUGGCUUGUAGGUGGAGCUGAAUACAAUGCCUGCAUUUGUGGCUAACUCCAAGCAAUACAUUAUGAAGAUGAUGUUAUUCAGACACACACCCAAACAAUUUGAUUCAGACAAAUUGGAUACGAGACUUUGACCAGCAUAGAAGAACAGCUGGUGAGUUGCUUACAUUUUGUGCCUCCCGUGGAAGCUGACACCAUUGCAGCUGCAGAGGGAUGUUCAAAGAGCUGCCAGCACCAGCACGUGGCCCUAAUGAACAAACGCGUUUGGUCCAGCAGCAGCCUACAUGUGGAGCUGAGCAUCACUCUCCUGCCCUGUGCACAUAACAUUGCAGAUGCCAACACAGAUGGGACACAAAAUUCUGCCCAGAGCACUCUCAGGAAACAAUUCUCUGACCUCUUUUGUGUGAAGUGCGAUGGCGAUAGCACUGUGCAGUGAGGAGUCCUGAAUGAUGGAAAUGCAGAGAUGUCUGCUGAGGUUUGCAUACUUCUGCCGCCAUGCAGAAGAGAUCUCAUACUGAAAGUGUGGAUCACAGCUGAACCCCCAUAUGGAUUAUUUCAAUGGAAAGUCGAGAAAACAGCUAUUGAUUUCUCUUUCAUGAAUAUAAAGCAGAGAUCUUGCGUAAGGGAAGACAACGUUAAAAUAACCAAGCACCAGAAGGGGCUAAGGGAAAAGCCUGAGGUUAGAGCAGAAAGAAAUAUUCAUAUUCAAAGUUUAUAACUGUUUUGAAAUAAUAAGAACUAUGGUUAAACUAUUUACUUCAGUUAGCUUCAUAAUCUGAAAACCACCGUCACUUAGAUCCUACUUAUAAAGAUGUAUUCUACACCAUUCUGAAAUCCCAGAAGACAAUAAAAAACUGUGGGCCUUCUGAUGUCUGAAUGUGUUGGGAUUAGGUGCAAGUUGCGGGGCGUUCCUAGAAACACUAUUUCAGAACAUUUGAACACUACAACUUUUGGAUCAGUCCAUGCAGUUGGGUGAUGUGUGUGACACGGGUGCCUGGCUGUGCUGAGAUGGAUUUGUGAUGCUUUUCCUGAGCUUCACCUCCUCCAACUGAGCAUCACAGCCCCUGUGAAGUCAACCAAGAGUUUGCCGUUGACUUAACAGAGCCAGAAUUCCAUCCCAGGACAGAAACAACUGAAGUAGAGUGCCAUGGGCUGGUGACCUGCAGCAACCUCAGGUGAUGAAGGAGCAAAAAUUUCCUUGUCACAAAACUGAUGUCAUCAGCCCAAGGUUCCCUGAUUUCACUCUGGAUUUUCUGCUAUGUUUCCGUUCAUGUUGCAGCUCUGUGGAUAACGUGUUAAGGCGCUGUUCUUAAAAAAGAAAGAUUUAACUUUUUUAAAGGAAUGGGUGAUUUGUAGAAGACAUUUGUGUAAUUUUGUAUUCUAAAUGUGAUUUAUUUUUAUAAAUA